rnacentral:lncRNA from 1 species
GAAAGAGAGUAGGAGCCCAUUCUAUUCUAUCUAUCUAUCUCAGAAAGAAAGUCUCAACCCUUUGGUACGAAAGUAGGCCCUAGCUUCUCAAUAAGUCAUUCAAUGAACUAACUAUACUUAAGAUGUGAGCUAUACCUAUUCCUUCUUUUCUUAUCUCUUCCCUUUCGGGCCGGAUCGGAUAAAGAAAGGAGCUAAAGAAUGAAAUAUUCAUCAAAGUAGUCCUUACAUCCCUCCG